CGGGCCGGGGGCGAGGAGUCAAGGCUGGGGAGCGGGUGACGGGCGGGCGGAGGGCUUGCCCCCGUGUGGUCCUCGGAGCAGCCUGAGGUCCAGCCUCCGAGCGGUCCCGGAGGAGGAUGCGACCGGGGGGCCCCGGGCGGGGCGGUCGGCGGCGGCUGCAGCGCUAGCGGCGCGGGGGCUGGGCGGCGGCGCCGGCAUGAGGCGCAGGGCCGGUGUCCGCGGGAGGGUGGCGCUGCCGGCGGCCCGGCCGCUCCCGCUGCAAUUGCUUGCUGGGCUCGCCGUGCCCUGCCAGUGGGGCCCCCGCAGCUCUCGUCCCGGCCGCUGCUGGUGACCACUCGCCGCCCCCCCGGAGGCUUCACCCGCGCCCUCCCCCAGGACGCGCCAGCGGAGCUCCGGCCCCUUCGCCCUGGACGCGGAGGCCGCGCUGUGCGGGGCGACGGCGAGGCCGGAAGAUGGCCUGGGUGCUCAAGAUGGACGAGGUGAUCGAGUCCGGGCUGGUGCACGACUUCGACGCCAGCCUCUCGGGCAUCGGGCAGGAGCUGGGCGCCGGCGCUUACAGCAUGAGUGAUGUCUUGGCAUUGCCCAUUUUCAAGCAGGAAGAUUCCAGCCUUCCAUUGGAUGGUGAAACAGAGCACCCACCCUUUCAGUAUGUGAUGUGUGCCGCAACGUCGCCAGCAGUAAAACUGCAUGAUGAAACGCUUACUUAUUUGAACCAAGGUCAGUCAUACGAAAUUCGGAUGCUGGAUAAUCGGAAAAUGGGUGAUAUGCCUGAGAUCAGUGGAAAAUUAGUAAAGAGCAUCAUAAGGGUUGUAUUCCAUGACAGACGGCUACAAUACACAGAGCAUCAGCAACUUGAAGGAUGGAAGUGGAAUCGCCCAGGAGACAGACUUCUUGAUUUAGAUAUUCCAAUGUCUGUGGGAAUAAUUGACACAAGGACGAAUCCAAGCCAGUUAAAUGCGGUUGAAUUUCUGUGGGACCCAGCAAAACGCACCUCUGCUUUCAUUCAGGUACACUGCAUCAGCACGGAAUUUACUCCACGGAAGCACGGAGGUGAAAAGGGAGUGCCCUUUAGGAUCCAGGUUGACACCUUUAAGCAGAAUGAAAAUGGAGAAUACACAGAUCAUCUACACUCAGCUAGCUGCCAAAUCAAAGUUUUUAAGCCUAAAGGUGCAGACAGGAAACAAAAAACUGACCGAGAGAAGAUGGAGAAGAGAACAGCUCAUGAAAAAGAAAAGUAUCAGCCAUCCUAUGAUACCACAAUCCUCACAGAGAUGAGGCUUGAGCCUAUAAUUGAAGAUGCAGUUGAACAUGAGCAGAAAAAGUCCAGCAAGCGGACUUUGCCAGCAGACUACGGUGAUUCUCUGGCAAAGCGAGGCAGUUGUUCUCCAUGGCCCGAUGCCCCCACAGCCUAUGUGAAUAACAGCCCUUCCCCAGCGCCCACUUUCACCUCCCCACAGCAGAGCACUUGCAGUGUCCCAGACAGCAAUUCUUCUUCCCCAAAUCAUCAGGGAGAUGGAGCUUCACAGGCCUCUGGUGAACAAAUUCAGCCUUCAGCUACGAUCCAGGAAACACAGCAAUGGCUGCUCAAAAACAGAUUCUCUUCCUACACAAGACUGUUCUCUAAUUUUUCAGGUGCCGACUUACUAAAACUGACAAAGGAGGAUUUAGUUCAAAUUUGUGGUGCAGCCGAUGGAAUUCGGCUCUAUAAUUCACUGAAGUCAAGGGCAGGCCCAGAUAUGAUGCAGGCACUGAUGAGGGCAGAGGUAGACUGUAAGACUGGUAGAAAUGCACAUGGGCAGUACUGAUUUCUUGAAGACGACUGGGUUUGUUGCCAAGAAAACAAAACUUCUAAUUUAGGUGAGCUAUACAGAAUCUAUGGUUUUCAAGGUCAUGACUAUUACUAAACAGUUAUUAAAAAUGUAAACUAAUUGUGAAUUAAAAUGACAGAAACUGUAAAUUGUGCUGGCUUGUAAGAACCAUUUACUAUCAUUGCUCUUUCUAUACUUGUGGUGUGAGAAUUCCAUUAAAAUUGAAUCUUACUGAUUUUUAAUUUGCUGACUUAAUCUUGAAACUUAAAUUUACCAGCAUCUGACAGACCAUCUCAAUGGUUUAGAGUCUGGAUCAUCAUAUUAGACCACCUGUGAUAGUUGGUGUGAGGUGUGUGGUUUUUAUAUUUUUAUUAGUAAAUUAUUUUGUAUAACGAAAUAACAUAAAGUUCUCAUAAGGAAAUAGAACUUAGAUUCCUGUAGUUGUCAUAUUUGUACACGUGUAAGGCAGCUUUCUCUCCCAGGCUCAUCAGUAGCAUCUUCUGAUUGCAGGUCGGUUAGGCCCCGUUUAACCAUCUAUGUCUGUCGGGAGCAGCCAAGCAGCACAGUGCUGCAAGGGCAGCAGCAAGCUGCAAGCAGUGCAAGCGAGAAUGGCAGUGGGGCACCCUAUGUUUAUCAUGCAAUCUACUUGGAAGAAAUGAUUGCCUCAGAAGUUGCUCGAAAACUUGCGCUGGUGUUUAAUAUUCCUCUCCACCAAAUUAAUCAGGUUUACAGACAGGGUCCCACUGGUAUUCACAUUCUUGUUAGUGAUCAGAUGGUUCAGAAUUUUCAAGAUGAGAGUUGUUUUUUAUUCUCCACAGUAAAAGCUGAAAAUAGUGAUGGCAUCCACAUAAUUUUGAAGUGAUGUCUUAUAUAGACUGAACUAUAUUCAGUACCAAAUAGUCACGCUUAAAAGUGUGUGAAGACUGAAUCCAAGAAGUCUUGGGAUUGGAUUUUACCAUAUGAAAUGUUUCAUAUUGAAAACACAAGAUGACCUUUCUAAUGAGCUGUAUGAGAGGUGAAUCUCCUCACUGUCACUGCCAUAGCCAAGCAUCCUCAUGAGAGUGAGCACGUCAGCACAGCAUGCAUCCAGCUCUGGAGGCUACGGUGCAGGCAUAGCUGCCUGCUGCUCUGGCAGAGGCCAGUAAAUACAGUUCCUAGAAGCAGCCUUUGCUGUCUUUUUACACUGUAUGCGGUUUGGAAAUGAAUGUAGAAACUUACUGUGGGCAUUUACCUUUCUGUGCCAGUUUGGCUUUUAUUGCCUGAACCUUAUGCUGACCUGGAGAGGAGACGGGGGACAGUGCUGUUGUGGGGCCAGCAGUAAAUCUGUAUGCGGAGAGCUGUGUUGUGCUGAUGUGGCCGUUGGUGGUCAGGUAAGAGGCUCGGCACCUUCUUGGAAGAAAUCAUGUCUGAGGGUGUACGUUUGAUAUGAUCAUGCCAGAUUGGAGAAGAUCCAAGCCAGGAAGAUGGGCUUGAAGCAAACUGCAUUAUCAGGAGUACCUUGGUGAGAGGAUCAGUGUAAAUCCUAAUAGGUACAAAGACUUUUUUGUGUUUUGGCUUUGUCACAGAUUUAUUGAAAAACUUUUUUGCUUCUGCUUCCAUUUUUAGCAUUUUAGUUUCAGGUUUUCAUUUUUGGAGAUUCCUUGCCUUUUAAACUCGUGGUUUUUCUCUCGUUUUCUUCCCUCUCUCCCUCCAUCUCUGACCACCCCCCACCCUAACCCCCCACCCCUACUAUCCUAUUAAACAUUUUUAAAGCCCUACCCCAGACAUUGGAAAUAGGUGACCCAAGUAGGGGGAGAGAGUAUUAUUGUUGAUAGCUUCUGACUGGGUGUUAAGGGAUCUUCAAGAUGAAUUUUUUUGUGGAAACACUAGAUGUUAUCAGUCAAACACUAAAAUGUACCAUACAAAUCCCUUAAGCCUCUCUCAAAUAUUGAGCUUUAGUACAAUCAUGGAUAGACAUUCUGGUGAUGAUUUAGGGGCUUUUUAUACACCACAUAAUAGCUUCUUUCUCUAUAAGAGUGCCUCUUUCAUAAAACCAAAUGCUUGUCUGCUAGCAUACUUUUCAAAGGGAAUCCACUGUUUUCUCACUUUCCUCCCAUAUCUCCGUCCUUCAUCCAGAACCUUCCCAGAAUCCAUCAGCAAGCAUGUUUGAGGCCUGUGGUGUAGGGGACUGAAUUUUUUUUUUAACUUCUAUUCCAUUUUAAUUGUAGGAUAUCUCUGUCCAUAUACCCAGAUGUCCUGAUUUGAAUGUACUAUUUGAUCCUCAUUGUGUUCAGGCAAAAAAUAGGAAAUGAGUAAUUUUGAGUUUGAAAUCUCUCCCAGAAGACAAACUACUUCAGUGGGUAAAAGCUUUGACAUUUUAUGUUUUAUUCAUAAAGGGGGUUAAUUAUUUGCUACAGAGAAGCACGAUCUAUUUUCAUCAUCGAUUUGAAAAUAUCUGUAACUCCUAUAGAUCCUGUAGGCAGAGAGUUUUCCUUUCUGACUUUUUCCCUUUGCUUUUGUGUGACCACGUGUUUUCUGUACCAGUCACUGGGGAAAGAAGUGAGUUUAUCUCUUGUUUUAAAAGUUUUGCUUGUCUAUUUAGCAUUCCUUUUUGGGUCUCAAGAUUUAUGGAACAAUAAAUGUCAUUUAAUGCUGUGUGCUUAUUUUGAAUUCCUCAUCAGGUUUUAGAAGCGGGGUAAAAAUACUUAGAUGCUUAUCAGACUUGACUUGAAAUUAUACUGAGUGACAUUGAACAUGAGUUUGUCCCAGUGAAACAGGCUAAAUAAAUUUUGGCACCAGCAAAUUUGUUACUUUGUUUUUUUAAUAGUAGGAUGUACACAUUUCAGUAUAAUAAAUGUUUUCUGAUUGUUUUGCAAA